rnacentral:sRNA from 9 species
AUGCUAGUCUUUUGUCAACAAGCCAUCCAUGGCUCUUGAAAAGCAUAGGGGGCUUGGAGUGAGGGAUUAAGUCCCUUUGAUCUCUCACUCCAAAAUUUCGAACAGUUUGCCUGUGCUUAUAGCCAUUGGCUAUGCUAAUCAUCGAAGCUGCCCUGAUAAAGAGAAGCAUCGUUUGAAGACAAAGCAUAGUGUUUUGGUUAAUGCCUGCAGGUAGACCGGCAAGUCACAGAACGGCACCAGACUCGGUUAUGAGUCU